rnacentral:lncRNA from 1 species
ACAAUAUUAAUGAACCUGAUAUUUUUCUCCCAUCAAGGGCAACAUUAGGUUAACCUAAUGCUCAGCAGUGUGACUGGUGCACGUUUUUGCCUGGGAGGAGACGGGGAAGGAAGGAGAAAUCAACAGCCAUCUUUCCGGCUCAGAAGACCAGAAGAACAGCAGCAGUUGGUCUGCAAAGAGAAAGAGAAGAUUAAAUCGGAUAUUCAAAGAAUGGAAGCCAGAUAUGAAGGGAGAAUCCUAAUGCCUUUGUGCAGCAGCUACCGUUUCCCAUAAUACUCACUCUAAAUCGAUGUCACUGCAAAUAAAAAUGUAAGUAAAGAAAGUGGCA